GGGGUGGGGUGGUUGCAUACUUCAAGUUGAAGUUUGUCAGAUAAUAGUGUUCUAAUAUCAACGGCGUUCCGUACUUGAAAAAAAAAAAAAAAAAACAGCAUUUGGAAUUUCUCUCUUGGUAAGAACACGUCAAUAUCUUGUCAGAUAGCAUUUCUUAGUUCCUCCAAAUGCCUCUGUCAAGUCUAUUGGUCCAAAUCAUAAAUUCAUAUUGGUUUUGUGAAGACCUAAUUUCUUAUCUUUUGUAUUAUGUUUUAGUUCCUUUCACACUUAAAUCGGAUACCACUGAAGGCUUUAUUAACCCCAUAGCAGUUCCAAUGACUGGUCUAAUUUCAAAAUUGCUGCAUUGGAAUCUUUUGCAGGCCGUGAUGGUUCUUUCCUGUAUUAUGGCUUUCUCAAUAAACUAUUGUGUAUUCUUUUAAUACAACUCUCAAUUCAGCUCUCACUCAGACAAUUUGUGGUAAUUUGAUGGUACACAGUAUCUGUUUCCAACUUCAUGGUACCCUGAAAAAGAAAAAAAGAAAAAAAGAGAAAAAAAAAGAAAAAAAAAGAGAGAAAAAGGCAGACAUGAAGCUGUUUAAAUCUUGAUGCGAAUAUGUUAAUAUUACCUUUAUUUUCCUGAAAAUUGGUGGCCUCCAUGCAAUUGCUUACCUUAAACAUGAAUCAAACUUCUCAGAUGGUGACAACCUUUAAAGUCUUGUCUGCCUUAAACUAGAUUUAUUUAGCUACUUUUUAGUCAAUGUAUAUUUCUCGACUCUAAUUACUACCAUGAAUAUCUAGAUAAUUUUUCCAGUCGAUAUUCUCUUGGCCAGUAAAGGGCAUUCGAGGUCAUGGGUCCCAACUCCCAAUUGCCACAGGCUGCUGAUCUGUCAGUUGGACCAUCUGAACCAAUUACUUCUUAAACAAGCUUAAUAUAUCCGGCGAACAUUAGAUUAGACGUGUCUUUAAAGUCAUAUUUUGGUUACCAGAACUUCCAAUAGCUGCAUCAAAGUUCAUGCAUUUUUUACCAUAUUGCACUGAAAAAUACUAUAUCUCUUCCAUAAUUUACAUGAACAUUCUGUAGUCUUAGCAAGAGGGAAAACCAAAGGCCUCUGCCCUGCCCUCCCUUGGAUGGACAAAUCGCCAGCAGGUUGGUUGAUAUUAUCUUGAUGCUGUUGGUUCAGUUUGUUUCUUAAAAGGCCAGAUUGACUUGGUGAAAUUGAUAGAAUUGUUAUGUUGUUUUAGUUUAAUGAGACAUUAGGAUUGGCUGCAGACUGAAUUUCUGGUUUUGUGCACUAAUGGUAAUUUGUGAGCAUAGUCGUUGGGCAUGCAAACUUCUGGGUCUUCUUACAAUUGGGCUUGGCUGGCUACUGUUUGGCGGGCUUCCUUUUGAUUUGUUGAGCAUGAAAUGCUACUAAUCUUAUUUUUCUGCAAUGCUCUUGACAUUGCCAUUCAAUCUUAUUUUCCCGGCCAAUACCUUGGUUUUA